rnacentral:snRNA from 1 species
GUGCUCGCUUUGGCAGCACACAUACUAAAAUUGGAACAAUACAGAGAAGAUUAGCAUGCCCCUGCGCAAGGAUGACACACAAAUUUGUGAAGCAUUCCAUAUUUUU